CAUUUUGAAACACCGUCUCCUCUCCGAUCACCGAAAUUAAGCAACGCCGAGUCUGGCCAGUACCUAGAUGAAUGACCGCAUGGGAAUAUCAGGGGCUGUGA